rnacentral:rRNA from 1 species
GCCUACGGGGCGCAGCAGUAGGGAAUCUUCCACAAUGGGCGAAAGCCUGAUGGAGCAACGCCGCGUGGGUGAAGAAGGUCUUCGGAUCGUAAAACCCUGUUGUUAGAGAAGAAAGUGCGUGAGAGUAACUGUUCACAUUUCGACGGUAUCUAACCAGAAAGCCACGGCUAACUACGUGCCAGCAGCCGCGGUAAUACGUAGGUGGCAAGCGUUAUCCGGAUUUAUUGGGCGUAAAGGGAACGCAGGCGGUCUUUUAAGUCUGAUGUGAAAGCCUUCGGCUUAACUGGAGUAGUGCAUUGGAAACU